GGUCAGUCUGUGUGGGUCAGUCUGUGUGGGUCCGGAUGUGUGGGUCAGUGUGGCUGUGUGGGUCCGGAUGUGUGGGUCAGGA
rnacentral:lncRNA from 1 species